rnacentral:rRNA from 1 species
GAUGAACGCUAGCUACAGGCUUAACACAUGCAAGUCGAGGGACCGGCGCCCGGGUGAGUACCACGUAUCCCACCUGCCCUUUACUCGGGGAUCGCCUUUCGAACUCAAGCUUACUACCCGAUCUCAAGGAUGGGGAUGCGUUCCAUUAGGUUGUUGGUGAGGUAACGGCUCACCAAGCCUUCGAUGGAUAGGGGUUCUGAGAGGAAGGUCCACAAGAGGGGAACUGAGACACGGUCCAAACUCCGACGGGAGGAAGAAGUGAGGAAUAUUGGUAAAUGGGCGCUAGACUGAACCAGCCAAGUAGCGUGAAGGAUGAAGGCUUAUGGGGCGUAAACGGCUUUUAUAUAAGAAUAUGUAUUAUAUGAAUAAGGAUCGGCUAACUCCGUGCCAGCAGCCGCGGUAAUUC